CUCGAUUAGUCACAAUAUUAAGUUAAUCUGUUUUUAUUUUCCAACACUUGAAAAUGUGGUGUUACAAAAAGGUUAUGUAAAUUGGGAUAAUCCCAUGUAAAAAUGAGUGGGUUCACCAACACUUUACGCUAACACAAUUUUAAAAAAAGAUUAGCUACUGCAUGAAGUGAAAGUGACUAACAUGGUAUUUCUUCUGGGAUUAAUACUGGGUAUACUUAGGUGUCUCUACUACUUGUUCUCAACACCUGAGCAAUCUCCUUAAGAAUCAAGCCCUAACAAAGAAGAAGAGCUACAGCUAAAAGGUCUCUUCAAACAUUAAGAUGUACGAGCCUCUAGCUUCGUUUCAAGAAUGAAUAUUACGAGAGACAGGAGGGGAAUCUGCCAUUGUCUUCAAGCCUGGACCCCAAAACUGACAAACUUCACUGCCACCACAUUCUGUUAGUCAGACAGUCAGAUCCCACCCAGAUUCAAGAGGAAGAGACCUAGACCCCACCUCUUAACAGAAGAAGUGUCAAAGAAUUUGAAGCCA
rnacentral:lncRNA from 1 species